GCCUACUAAGUAUAAAGAUGUACAAUUGCCUUCCAAGCAGUUAGAUUAAGGGUACCUUAAAGUUGGCA
rnacentral:tRNA from 1 species